CUCCUGGGCUCUGGGGAUCCUCCUGCCUGAGCCUCCCAAAGUGCUGGGGUUCAGGCACCUGGCCUGAAAAUCCCUUUAUGUUAGUCCAGAGAGGCGAGGCUGCGCUGCAGUAACAAAUUCGCCGUAAAAUCUUCGGAAAUGAUCACAAGGCUUUAUUUCUUGCUCACGCAGUUCUUGGUGAGGGUCAGCUGCCUCUCCAGGGUAGGUGACUUCCCUGUGACAAGUGAUCCAGGCUGUCCUGGUUUUGUGACAUGGCCUCCCAAGGGUUGGCCUCCAGGUCCCCACAGUGGGAGAAGGGAGAGUGGACGACUCUCACCCACUCUUCUGUGUCUGAAACCGGAACUGACGCAGUUAAUCCCACUCACAGCCCAUUGGCCAAAAUGAGUCACAUGGCCCCAACCCAACCACUGCGGGAGCUGGGAAAUGGAGCGGUGCCUGUGGAAGAGAAGGAUUUCUCCCUUUCCUAACUGAUGUGGUUCUGGAGUUUUGGAUAGCGGAGUAGUCAGACUAGUGUGUUCGGUUUCUAACUUCGAACUGGUAGAACCAGAGCAUGCAGAGCAAAAAGAAGCCCUCAGACAUCAGCUUGUACAAACUGGCUUGAUGCAGUACCUAAAGAUGGCUGAGGAUGCUUAUAUGGCUGCUUUAUCACCAAGGCAAAAGAGGUUGAUCCAGUUGCCUGGCAACAGAAGCUUCUUCCUGUACCCCCCGCCCACCUGCUGUUGAGAAUCUCUCGGUCAUGUUCCAUCUGCCCACGAGUGAGCAUUCGCGUCAUUCAUCAGUUAGUGGUGAGAACAUCCAAGGCUCGGGGGAUUCAGCAGCUGUCCUGAGUGCCACAGUAAGUGAUAGAGCCUGGAUUUAAACCCAUCUUUGCUUGACUCUAAAGCUUGAGACAGAAACAGCCCAUCCUCGGAGUCAAGUGAACUUAGAGAAGACCUAGGACAAUUGUCGGGGACAGUGGUAGCCAUGGGUUUUGUUGUUUGUUUUUUGAGAUGGAGUCUCUCUCUGUCACCCAGGCUGGAGUGCAGUGGUGCAAUCUCAGCU
rnacentral:lncRNA from 1 species